rnacentral:lncRNA from 12 species
CAAAUGCCUCUGGUGGGCGGAAGCCUCGGGGGAGGGUGGCUGGCUGGGUGGGGUCGGACCAGGGGCUUUCCAAAGGCUCCUCAAAAUUCCAGAGGCAGAGCCUGGCAAGCCCCCUUCUCGGGAAGGCUUAAGUGCCAACCGGGAGUACCUGACUAGGAGUCAACAAGAGGAUACAGGGAUUGCCUGGGCCUGGCGAUGUGGAGCUUGGGGCGUCUUUCCCAAGGCCUAGGAGAGUAGUUCUCCAGGCAGGCAGCAGGUGCUCAAGUGGGACCACACAGACUCCCUCCACACUCCCAUAAACACUUCUCGACAGCAUCUGCUCUUGCAGGGGCUCUGUCCCAGCUGCAGCCAUGAGCAGAACCCAGUCUCGGCCCCUCCAGGGAUUCCCCAGUCCAGAGUGGCGCAGACCAAUGAGGCUGUUUGGAUGCAGUGUGGUAAGUGCCUUGGCAGGAGCACAGGAGCACACAGGAAGAUUUCCCUUUGAGCUGUGUGCCUUGAGGACAGUGAUGCCCUCCAGCAGCUGAGACUCCGGCUACCAUAGAGGGUGAUGCUCACUGUGGAAGCUGGAAGCUUCUUCUUGGGGAACUAUUCCUGAGAUCAGGUGAAUGAGGAGGGGGUGGGUACCUGGGAAUGGCAAUUCUCUGUCACUGAUAGCUCAAUGGAGGGAGAACCCCCUAACCUCCCCGCUCCAUGGUCUGCUCUGAAGCUUGGAGAAUGGGUCUGCAAUCCCUCAGGUUUGGGGUUCCCUAGGGUACCUGUCCAUUAGUACUCAGAGAGUCAUCCAUGCUCUUGCCAUAAGAACCUUCUCAAAUGUCAGAAGAGGGACAGCCUUCAGGGAGCAGAGAACCCAGAGCUGACCACCCACGUGGAAGAGAACCUAUAGGAGGCAUCAGCAGGUGUGGGGUCGGCCUGGGGCUGCUCCUCCAGGUGCCCCUUCCAGGUAUAAACCAUCAUAGUCUGUCUUCAUAGAAGGCCCUGGACCUUGGGGGGUCACUGCUUUGUCCAGGCUGGCUAUUCCUCAGGCUGGUCCUGUUCUCUUGCAUACGAGUCGGGAUCACUGGACAGGUGCUGGCAUUGAUGGGCAAGGCCUGGGGCCA